rfam:Rhizopogon vinicolor AM-OR11-026 unplaced genomic scaffold K503scaffold_50, whole genome shotgun sequence.
CCGACCUUAGCUCAGUUGGAAGAGCGCGAGACUGUAAUUGGUUAUUUGUCAUCUUGAGGUCGCCUGUUCGAGCCAGGCAGGUCGGA